rnacentral:rRNA from 1 species
UACGUAGGGGGCAAGCGUUUGUCCGGAAUCAUUGGGCGUAAAGCGCGUGUAGGCGGUUCAGUAAGUCUGCUGUGAAAGUCCAGGGCUCAACCCUGGGGAUGCCGGUGGAUACUGCUGGGGCUAGAGUACGGAAAGAGGCGAGUGGGAAUUCCCGGUGUAGCGGUGAAAUGCGCAGAUAUCGGGAGGAACACCAAUGGCGAAGGCAGCUCGCUGGGG